GCCAAGCAAGACCCAAGACUUGGAGAGACUUACAAGGAUAUCAAAUCAUGCAUAUAAAAAAUCAGCAAAGACUCAAAUAUAAUUCAUAGAUAAUCUGAUCACAAAUCCACAAUUCAUCGGAUCUCGACAAACACACCGCCAAGGAGGAUUACAUCGGAUAGAUCUCCAUGAAGAUCAUGGAGAACUUUGUAUUGAAGAUCCAAGAGAGAGAAGAAGCCAUCUAGCUACUAACUACGGACCCGUAGGUCUGAAGUAGACUACUCACGAGUCAUUGGAGAGGCAAUGAUGUUGAUAUAGAAGCCCUCCAGCUCCAAAGUCCCCUCC
rnacentral:lncRNA from 1 species